UACGUAGGGUGCGAGCGUUAAUCGGAAUUACUGGGCGUAAAGCGCGCGCAGGCGGUCCUUCAAGUCAGGGGUGAAAGCCCAGAGCUCAACUCUGGAACUGCCUUUGAGACUGUAGGACUUGGGUAUGGGAGAGGUGAGUGGAAUUCCGAGUGUAGAGGUGAAAUUCGUAGAUAUUCGGAAGAACACCAGUGGCGAAGGCGACUUACUGGACACAUAUUGACGCUGAGGUGCGAAAGCGUGGGGAGCAAACAGG
rnacentral:rRNA from 1 species